UUCUCCUAAAAACAGAGGCAGGCUCAGCUUGGUAUGCUCCUGUUCCUAUCAGCACAAGAGGGGCUAAACGCCAUUCACAACGACACAAACAUUGAGUGUGCGCUCCUCCUAGGCCACAUCUUGCGCUACGAGGCACGUAAAUCCCCGGUUUGAGGGGUGCCUGGGUGGCUCAGUUAGCUGAGUGUCCAACUCUUGAUUGCAACGACUCAGAUCACGAUCUCAGGGUCGUGAGAUCAAGCCCCACAUCGGGCUCCGCGCUUAGUGGGAGUUUGCUUGAGAUUCUUUCUUUCCCUCUCCCUCUGCUCCUCCCUGCCCUGCUGGCUCGCAUGUGUGCACACACUCUAAAAUAAAUGAGUCUUUAAAAAAAAUAAAUCCCCUAUUUUAGAUAGAAAACAGAUGGAGAGAUAUGCAACAUCACACAGCUAGCAACCAAGUCACACCCCAAAGGUGUCCAACUCCAGAACCUUCUUAAAUGAUCUAAAAAAUGAGAAACUUCAAGAAUCCCUACUAUAUAAAAGCAACCGUCAGAAUUCUCUGUGAAUACAGUUUAGAGUUCCAGAUUUGUUUUUACAUUACAGAUAGGCUAAGCAGCUCAACAGCCAGGAGGCAUGAGUGACAAGAAACUACAAACUGUGCCACUGAGGAAGCACCAGCUUUUGGCCUCUGAUACAUGCUGCCUCUACCAAAGAGACACUUCAGUUUGGGGGUGACCUAUGAGGUAUUCUUGCCAAAAACACUGUGUAGGCCUUUUGACCGACUUCCAAUUCUCAGCAAUUACAGAGGAUGAAGGACCAAGUAACACCAUUUUAGGUGAGAAAAGUCCAUUUUAAAUUGUGGGGCAACUGGUGCAAACUUAGACCAAAGAAACAUAAUCAAAUAUAACACCCGGAUGGACCUUGGCUGAUGCCAACUUAAAAGAACAGCUCUAAAAUUUUGCGGCCAACGAGGGAAACUGAAUCAUGGGCUGAACAGAUACUAACAAGGCAGUUAAUUUUCUUGGGAGUCACAAUGGUUGUGGUUAGAAGGACAACGUCCUGAUUUCUAGGAGAUACAUACUCAAGUGCUCAGAGAAGGAAGCAUGAGGUGUGCAACUUAUUUUUGAAGGUUCACCAGAAAAACAGACCCCGCCAAAUAUAGCAAGUGGGCUGUGCGGCCAUACGUAUGGCAAAAUGUGGCCACCUGCUGAGGGCAGGCAUGGGAUGGACAGUGAGCAGCCGACCACCAGCUCAGCGUUUCUGUAUGUUUGAGUUUUUAACAACGAAGCCUGGAAGUAAGCGGAGGGUGGCACACAUUGAACUAGGCGCAAACACCAUGUAGGUUUCAUUGUUUCCUAGCAGUUAUUCUUUGCCGUUGCCUCUUCUAGGGGGUCAUGCUGAGGCUGGUCACCAAGCCUGUCACCCCAAGAGCACACAAGAGCGCACUGAGCUCAGUGGUGACCCGCGGCCUGGGAUGAAGGCGCUGCGUCUCCAGACUUCUAUCCCCGCAGCACCACGGAGAUGGCGGAAAUGGCCCGAGUCGGAGGGUCUCGAGCACCACCACACCCGGGAGCUCUCAUGGUUGCUCACGUCGGGGGAGGUGGGGUGAGCUACACAUGAUCUUACUCACAAGCCAGUUUUCCAAUCUGUUGAAAACUUACGUCCCACAAAAACACGCAUGCAGAUGCUCAGUGCGGCUUUAUUCAUGAUCACCAGUGACUGGAAGUGACCAAGAUAACCUUCAACAUGAACCAAACUACAUCGUGCUGCAGAGUUCUUCGGCAAUAACAAGUGAGCUCCCGUGACCGCGCCCUAUGCCCACUGAAGGACACAGGUGACCCUUCAAGGCUUAGAGUUGUCCCCCCUGCCCCGCCCCGGGCUAACUGGCUCAUCAUUCUGAUACCACCACCCAUAUACAUAGGAACUGAAUAAUUAAAUGGUUGGUGGCUGGUAGGAUCUAGAUUUUUCAAGGUUGGAAUGGGAGGCUACAGAUAAAUAAGGGGAAAAGGGUAGAAUGAGCCACAUGGCACCGGACUCAUGUUUUGCUUAAUGUAGAUACAAAUGGAUAAAAAUACAGAUAUGUGAAUAUAUACAGAUUCAUAUACACAUAUAUGUCCCUGUUCUGUCUGCUGAGGGCCUAGACAGAAGGACACUCCAGCAGCAAUGAGCAGAUCUAGCUCCCAGAUCUUGGUUUCUAAUAACACUUUUCGAUAAAAGGAACAAUGUUGGGGGGUAAGACAAAAAAACCUAAAACAGGGACCAUGUGAAAGGGAUGCCAAAGGCCAAAGCUCGAACAAUUUGACCAGCAAAAUCAAAGAGUAUGAGAUUAUAACUCGAAGUUUAGAAUAGCCAUGAGUCCACAUUAACAAAUGACGGAGUAAAUGAGAACAGACCAAUCUAAGGCACAAGAACCCUACAUGAUGUACGCGACAGAUGUGGGGGUGGGAUCAAGCCACGUUCCUUCUUCAGUGUCGGUGGGACAGAGCACGGCACAGCAUGGAAAGACAGAAAGAAUAAUUUGCCAGCAGAGAAAUCUAAUGAGUGUGACACCUCAGCCAGGUCACCAAAGCCAAGAGCCCCAGCCAUAAGCCAGGUUUCUAGUAGGGACCACACUAAUGGACAAUGAACAAGAGAAAAGAAGUCUGCACUAUCUCCACAUUCUUGAAAUCCAAAACUAUUCUAAAAUAAAUUGUUUUUUAAAAAGAGGGCAACUAUUCAUAUAUACGUUUUCACAAAAAGCAGCUGUAGACACAAACCAGCCCCAGUAUUUUACCUGGUACCCGAGUUUACCCAUACUUAGGGUACAACUACGGUACUCUCAUUCCUUCACUCAAAUACCUGACCCCAUUAGGCUCCCUUAAGCCGCUGGACACACUGUUACGUAGCACAGGAACAGAGUAAACAGAAUUAGUCGGGACAAUAAAUGAAAACUUACAGUAGCAGUUCUCUGCUCAUCAAACUUCGACAGUUUCUGAAGUUCUCUGUAGACCGCUCCGAGAGGUGCAUAUUCUAGAAUUAGGUAAACUCUGGUGGCAUCGUGGAAAUAGCCAUACAGUCUGAGGAUGUUUGGAUGCCUGCAACAAAGGAUGCAUGCUUUAACGCCUGGUUCUGGAAAAGAUCCAAAAAUCUGUACUAACUACUAACCAACCCUCUCAUGUAAAACUAAUGAAAAUUGGUCCUGGACACAGAUUCCUCCCCUGACACAUACCCCCCACCUGAUUUGAGAAUCGGGGAAAAAAAACAAGUACAUCUGCAGUCAGUGACAAACAUUACAAGGUAUUAAUGGACCUUGGGUUUAGUUAAGAUGAUUUCCUUCCUUCAGACCAUCUUUAUUCUUUGGAGGAAAAACUCAGCUAAAUGUUAAUUCUUUGCACAUUAGAGAAAGAGAGACAUGGUAUUCCCACAGCAUUUUGAUCCCCAAACACUAGAAGACACAACUUCAAAGCCAUGUUCAGCUGAGGACUUGGGCAGCUGAGAACACGGCCCAGGACCACAGCCUUCAGCUCCCGCCAGCGGCUGCCAGGGAAAGAUACAGGCAUGAUGCGGGCAGAUUUGUCAGUAUUAACGACUGAUUCAAGUCUGCGAAAAAUAGUGAAAGCAAAAAAAAAGAGAGAAAAAAAAGACCCACUGGCCAAAGUCCGCCUGCAGAGGCUGCCAGUCUGCAACCUCUGCUUAGAGCUCAGAAGUCCUCACUCCCCUUCAUUACGCAUAUGCACGCACACACACACAAACUUGGCUACACAUGUACAUAAUUCAUUAACAAAGCAUAAACGUAAAUAAAACGUAAAUAAAAGGGAUUUUUAAGGACCACACUUGUCUAGAUAAAUUCUUAAAAAAUGACCAAUCAAAUCACACUCUGCAGUCCUACGGAGCAGGCUGCCAUCACUAACUCUCAGUGCCUAAGUUCUGCACCACACGCUUUGGAACAUCAAUCUGGAAACUCACCUGAGGUGGGACUGUAUUUCUACUUCUCUUCUCAGCUGAUGCUCAACUCCUGCUUUCUCCAGUUGAGCCUUAAAUAAUACUUUAAGAGCCAGGAUAAACUUGCUCUGUUUUUCCCUGGCCAAGUAAACAUUGCCGAACUUGCCUUUCCCCAGGGGACGGCCGAUUUCGAAAUCUUCCAAAGCCCAUUGCCUUCUAGGAAAAAAUGUGAACAUUUUAAAAUAUGAAGAAAACAAAUCUUUUCUAACAAUGUAUUAAGGAGUUCUAGAUAUACCUAUCAAUAAUUUUAUAUUUGAAGUCAUACUUAAUAUGUACCUGGGCAAGAACCAAUCCAAGAACCACUCUGUGUGAGUCUCCACCAACUUGAAACCCCCACUCCCUCACUUGCCAAUGAUUGUAGGAGUCUGUGACAAGGAACAAUCUGGACUUUUAGAGCUAAAGCACUAAUGCAAAGUGUCCCAAGGCACUACUACACUCUGAAUUACAGACCCAUUACCACCAGCACUGAAGAUCACAGGAAAGGUUUGGUAAUAACUGGAGGAAGUCUUCAGAUCUGUCUGUGGGUCUCUCAAAGACUAAACACAGCCUCCUCUUCUAUUCCAGAGAAGCUAAGCUCUCUGGGGUGCAGAAUCUGGGGUGGAUGAAUCAAGGGGGUUGGAUCCUACAGGGCGGUGAGGUGAGAACCCCUGGAUUUAGAUUCUCAGAAAGCUGCUAUCAUAGGCAGCUAAAGCACAAAAGCCUGUGGGUUCAUUCUUGGCUCCUCCUCCUCCUCCAUUCUAGAAAUUACAUUCUACAUUCUAGAGUCUAAACAGUUCAGAUCGGGCUCUCUGCUUGGCAGGGAGCCUGCUUCCUCCUCUCUCUCUGCCUACUUGUGAUCUCUCUCUGUCAAAUAAAUAAAUAAAAUCUUUAAAAAAAAAGAAACAGUUCAGAAAUUGAGAGCAGACUUUUGUAAAAUAUCUGGGGAAGAUAUUAUAAAGAAUAAUUCAAUUGAUACUGUCACAAUUAUUCAGAGUCACAUAUACAUGUGUCAUAGUUUUACAACAUGACUGCCUUUUGUUUAACAAACUUGCUCUUUUGUAUAAGAAUAGAAACAUAAAAACAUACCUAAACUAUCUGUAGUGGUUACUUCUGAGGGUAGAGAGAAACUUAUUUUACACAUUUCUGUAACAAAUUCAUACAGGUUCUUUUCUAAAUUUGGAAAGCAAUAAGAAAAGCUAAGCUUGAGUCCCUAGUAAACAUCAUUAAAAUUCCUUUUUUUUUUUUUUUUUUGCAAGUUUAGAAUUUAGAAACAUUUUUAUUUUCUGAGUGAAAAUAUAAAGAGCUUUUUAAACAUGUUCCCAUAAUUAAACUUGCAAUGGUGUAUUCUACUAAAAUGAUAGCACAGAACUUUGUAAGUAAGAUAAAGCUUACUUUUUU